rnacentral:rRNA from 1 species
CCCCGGCGCCACAAGUGGUCAUCGCGAUUAUUGGGCCUAAAGCGUUCGUAGCCGGAGUGGCAAAUCUCUUGUGAAAUUGUUCGGCUUAACCGGACAGCGUGCAGGAGACACUACCACCCUCGAGACCGGGAGGCGUAAGAAGUAUUCCAUGGGGACUGGUAAAAUGGGAUAAUCCAUGGAAGACUACCGAUGGCGAAGGCAUCUUACGAGAACGGAUCUGACGGUGAGGAACGAAAGCCAGGGGA